rnacentral:rRNA from 1 species
UUGGCGGACGGGUGAGAAAUGCAUCGGAACGUGCCCAUGUCGUGGGGGAUAACGUAGCGAAAGCUACGCUAAUACCGCAUACGCCCUGAGGGGGAAAGCGGGGGAUUCCUCGGAACCUCGUGCGAUCGGAGCGGCCGAUGUCGGAUUAGCUAGUUGGUGGGGUAAAGGCCCACCAAGGCGACGAUCCGUAGCGGGUCUGAGAGGAUGAUCCGCCACACUGGGACUGAGACACGGCCCAGACUCCUACGGGAGGCAGCAGUGGGGAAUUUUGGACAAUGGGGGCAACCCUGAUCCAGCCAUGCCGCGUGAGUGAAGAAGGCCUUCGGGUUGUAAAGCUCUUUCGGCCGGGAAGAAAUCGUGGUCUCUAACAUAGGCCAUGGAUGACGGUACCGGACUAAGAAGCACCGGCUAACUACGUGCCAGCAGCCGCGGUAAU